UCAGGAACGGCUCAGUCCUCUCAACUCGGCCAUCUUCACUCGGCAUUGAAGUAUUCUGGACUUUGGUCCUCAGUUGAGAUUCAGGGUGGCUGGAAAUAAAUUAGUAGUGCAGGAUGGGAUUUCCUGCAAUCAUUAUAUAAUUGUUUCCUUUGUUUGAAUAUUAUUUGAUGCUGAGAUUAGAAAUGUUUGUCUAGGUUUUCUAUUUCCUUCCCUUCCUAGCUGCUGUUAAACAUCUAUCUUGCC
rnacentral:lncRNA from 1 species